rnacentral:lncRNA from 1 species
GUUUUAAUAUUCACCUUCAUAAUUAUUAGUGAUCAGGAUCUACAUUUAAAUGCAGUGUUAGUCCAUAUCCUUAUUUAUGAUGAAAUGUAAAAUUACACAAAUCUCCAAUGAUAGAGAAAUAAAUGUGCAUUUUUUUUAUAUUCAUAUGAUGGGGUAUUGUGGAAUAUAAUUAUAGUAUACCUAGUGCCAUGGCAAAUUACUAUAGGUUAAGGGAAGUAAACUGGAGGCUAUAUAUAUGAUCUCAAUUAUGAAAAAAAAAUGAUAUUGAACACAAAGGAGCAUUCAGAAUUUCCCUGAAAUAUCACAUCUUUAUAUUUUGAGAGCAAUUCCUUCCAGGUGUAUAAAAUUGUUGCCUGCCAAAAAGUUAUUUGGAGCAUUUUCCAUGUACAGUUUGCCUCACGGAAUCUUAUUAAGGAUCCUCACCCCCAGCAUUUAUUGGAGGGAGGGAGGAGCCCUCUUUUCUCCCCAUUUCUCUUUAACCCAGAAAUGUUUUUGGCUUUAAGCUUCGGUGCUCAACAAUGUGUCCCAAAGCCCUGUCCUCCGGGAAGCCCUGUAAGACACUUUACCUGUAUAUCCUGAUUGGAGAAAACCCUUACGCAGCACUAACCAGAAGAUUAACUUAACUGAUCCUAUAAGGGCACUGUCAGCCUGGCUUCAAGAUCCCAGGACAUCUAGAUUGGCACCAGUUUUGCCUACAAUGCCUUUGAAGACCUUGCCCUACUUUGAGUGUAGUGCUUCUUUGGUCUUUAAACACACGAACACAUUGAGGAAUAAAAGGUGGAAGCAAGAAGAAUUAAUUCUUGAGCCUUGGCUGAAUCACCCCCACGAGCACGUGGAGUGAGGAAGAGAAAGAGCAGAAGUGGACAGUGUGGUGAACAUCACUCCAGUGAGAGCCACGCCAAGGAGGAGAGGCGGGUGAGAAACCCUGAGUCACAAUAGUCCUAAAGGUAAAAGCCAGAGAAAAGAAUCUGGAAGCCACAAAAGGGAAUAGCUUCAAUAGGUGUGGUCAGUCUUAAUACUCUAAAGCUUAGGAAGUUUGAGAGGGAAAGGUUUGGGUAUAAAAUAUAUGGUAGGCAUCAAACUCUAAUUUCCAGAGAUGGAGUCCAUCUAAGUAGGCAAGUGUUGCUUCUCUAGCUGAUGUAGCUAAUACACCCACCCAAACACACCAGAAAGGGUAGUCUCAGGACUGUGAGGAACCAGAAGCUUGUUUGGUGAGCCUGGUAGGCCUAUAGGGCUGGCUUUGGUGUUGCUGAGGGAAUUCUGUACACAGCUGGGUUUUGCUGAAGAAUCUGAGAGGAGGAGGUACAAGCUUCAAAGACCACAGAGCAUUGUUGGGGGCAGGGUGGUGGGUAGGCCGACAGUCUGUGGAGAAAGCAAGGGGAGGCUAUAAAGGGAGUCUUACCCCUCUUGAUCUCAGGUGACCAGCCAUCUGGGUUUUUGCCUAGGACUGAGGAGGCGCCCAGAGCCAGGACCUCAAAUGCUAAAACCAGGAUGAGCUGGUCAUGGAACCUUUGUCUUACCCUCCAAAUCUUCAGGAAAAUCUACAUCAGUGCUUUGAGAGUGGAAUUUAUAUUUUCUGGGUAUUGGCACUAGAAAUUGGCCUGGAGUAGGCACAGAGAAAGAAGAGCAGUGAGGGGUGGCUCGAGUAAGAGAGAAUGAUAAGGGAGCAGGAGCAUGGCAGGGGGAUGACAUCUUCUCAUGCAAACUGAGAAGCCCAACUCAAACUCCCACCUCUGAGGGG